GGGUAUGUAAACACUGGGACUGAGACACGGCCCAGACUCUUACGGGAGGCCGCUGUAGGGAAUCUUCCGCAAUGGACGAAAGUCUGACGGAGCAACCCGCGUGAGUGAUGAAGGUUUUGGAUUGUAAAGCUCUGUUGUUAGGGAAGAACAAGUGCGAGAGUAAGCUGCACCUUGACGGUACCUAACCAGAAAGCCAACUACGUGCCAUACGUAGGUGGCAAGCGUUGGGGCGUAAAGGGAGGCGGUUUCUGAAAGCCCCCGGUCAAACCGGGGAGGGUCAUUGGAAACUGGGAAAGUGCAGAAAGGCGGUGAAAUGUGUGGAGGAGAACUGGUCUGUAACUGACGCUGAGAGGCGAAAGCGUGGGGAGCGAACAGGAUUAGAACACGCCGUAAACGUGCUAAGUGUUAGGGGGUUUCCGCCCCUUAGUGCUGCAAGCACUCCGCCUGGGGAGUACGGUCGCAAGACUGAAACUCAAAGGAAUUGACGGGGCCCGCACAAGCGGUGGAGCAUGUGGUUUAAUUCAAACCAACCCAAAAAACCUUACCGGGUCUUGACAUCCUCUGACAACCCUAGAAU
rnacentral:rRNA from 2 species